UACAUGGGGUGCAAACGUUGCUCGGAAUUAUUGGGCGUAAAGCGCACGUAGGCGGUUUGUUAAGUCGGAUGUGAAAUCCCUCGGCUCAACUGAGGAAGUGCAUCCGAAACUGGCAGGCUUGAGUACUAAAGAGGGUCGCGGAAUUCCCGGUGUAGAGGUGAAAUUCGUAGAUAUCGGGAGGAACACCGGCGGCGAAGGCGGCGACCUGGGGUAGAUACUGACGCUGAGGUGCGAAAGCGUGGGGAGCAAACAGG
rnacentral:rRNA from 1 species